UACGUAGGGGGCAAGCGUUGUCCGGAUUCAUUGGGCGUAAAGAGCGUGUAGGCGGCCAGGCAGGUCCGCUGUGAAAACUCGAGGCUCAACCUCGAGAUGUCGGUGGAAACCGUCUGGCUAGAGUCCGGAAGAGGAGAGUGGAAUUCCAGGUGUAGCGGUGAAAUGCGUAGAGAUCUGGAGGAACACCGGUGGCGAAGGCGGCCCCCUGGUUCGAUACUGACGCUGAGGUGCGAAAGCGUGGGGAGCAAACAGG
rnacentral:rRNA from 1 species